rnacentral:lncRNA from 1 species
GAUAAACUUAGAACUCCUACAAAGAUUAUUCUCCUUUCUGGGAAAAACUAUAAAUUUUCAACAAGGACAUAAAUGUGAGUGACCUGCAGAAAAGAAUAAAGCAAACUCCUGAAAAUGCGGAGCAGGAGCCCUCCAGUGUCUUGCAUGUAUAAAACCCGAAUUCAUGCUCAUGUCCAAGGAAGAAUCCCAAGAACAUUCGUGACCAUAGCAUACAACCUAAGCCACUGUAUACUACCCAGAGGUCCACCAGCAAUGGUAUGUACGAAUAAACGUGGAUGUACUCAUGCAAUGCAAUGCUGUAUAGAGUUGGAACUCAGUGUCCUGUGACUACAGAUAGCAUCACAGAUGAAUCUCAAACAAUAAAUGAAACUGCAUGCAAAGG